rnacentral:rRNA from 1 species
UACGUAGGGUGCAAGCGUUAAUCGGAAUUACUGGGCGUAAAGCGUGCGCAGGCGGCUUUGCAAGACAGAUGUGAAAUCCCCGGGCUCAACCUGGGAACUGCAUUUGUGACUGCAUGGCUGGAGUGCGGCAGAGGGGGAUGGAAUUCCGCGUGUAGCAGUGAAAUGCGUAGAGUAUGUGGAGGAACACCGAUGGCGAAGGGCACCCUCGGUGUCACACUGACGCUCAUGCACGAAAGCGUGGGGAGCGAAACAAGGAUUAGAACGUACC